UGCCUCUCCGGUUGCUGUGCUCAGCUGCCUCUGAGCCGCCAGGAUGCCUGUGUCCUCGCUCUCCUCGGCCAUCCUGUCCCACAUGAAGGCCAUUAACAACGUGCCGCCUCCCGCGCCCCGCAGUGUGCCAGGCUUGAAAUUGCCGAAGCACAUUGAUUAUGGUCAAUUGGAUGCAUUAUUCCAUGUGAGCAGACAGCAGGCCAACCCGAGUUCUCUGAGUAUCCUAUCAGCUCACAAUGAUCUUAUCAAGAAUUACCCAAAAAUAUUCCUGCAGAGAAAAGCCAGGCUGCCUAGACUUUCUCAACCGGAGGAGAAAAGAAAACUGUCUGAGGACACAGAAGAAAGUCAGCGCCAACAAUCUGAGGACGACGCUCACAACAUAGCCAUCUACGUUAAACAAGUGCUCGGUAGUCAUCCAUGUGGACCCAAAAACUUUGAAGAGAAGGUAGAAGAAUUCCUGGCUAUCCUAAAGAAACUGCCCAUUCACAGAACACUGCAUGAACACAAGACCGUGUGGAAGAUGCUGAAAACAGUUCCAGAUUUAACUUAUCAGCUGACAGAUGACCAUCUGAAGACACUCAGUAAGAAUGUCAUUUCCGAAACCUGGAUAAAAGGCAGCACAGUGGUCGGAAACGACGGCUUUUUCGUGAUCCUGAGGGGCCUGGCGCGGGCGCAGACCCAGCUGUACAAGAGCCUCAUCGACGAGGAGGGCUCCUCGGCCACCUUCAUCCCGCAGAGCUUCCACAGCUACGUGUGCAGCGAGGACCUGCAGCCCGCGGCCCCGGACCAGCAGGCGGCGCUGUGCGGCACCCUGCUUGGACCGUGGAGCACCUUUGGGACGCUGGAAGUCACAGCUCAGAUUCAGUCGGAUCCAGCGGUGUACUCGGUGGUGACAGAAGAAGACUGUGAACUUCUUAAGAUCUCCGCAGCCAAUUAUGCAAAGUUAAAGUCGGAAAAAACAAAGCUUGAAAAUAAACAAAUAGUGAAACUAAUCCGCGGGUGCCCUUACUACGAGGAGUGGCCCACCCUGUCCAUCCACGAGCUGGUGCUGCUGGUGAAGUGGAAGAGGUUCCCUCGGGGUCAUGUGAUAGUGGAAAGUGGAAAUAUAAUUCCUUUCGUGGCUUAUAUUAAUUCUGGACACUGUAACAUUUAUAGAGAUAUUGUAGGAUUCGUGAGAUUACAGCCAAAACGAGUGAAGAAAGUCCGGAAGCUGGUCUACAUGGGGCAGCUCCAGAGGCAGGAGUCCUUCGGGGAGCUCAGCGCGCUGCUGCAGCUGCCCUUCACCUGCACCGUGGUGGCCGGGGCGGAGGUGGAGGCGGCCGUCAUCCAGGACAAGGACCUGCAGGAAUUAGAUCCAGUGACCCAGCAACUUAUGCUCCAAACAGCUAAACCAACUUUUGGUCAUCUCACAGAUUUCCAGGCAAGAUGGAGUAACACUCCUCCCUCUCACUCACUGAAUGAAGCUACGGCACUUGGAGAGAGGCAGAUUGGGGAGGAAGACAAGACUUCAAAGUAGCACCCAACCAGCAGUACGCUUACCAGAUACAAAUGAAAUGAAUGAGGAUGUCAGAUAUAAGUAUUUGCAAAAAGAACUACAAAAGGAAUGGAGAACUUUCAAGGAUAAGACAGUGAGAGAC